GAUAUGUCAAACUAUGAUGAUGACGACGAUGACUAUAUGUAUUAUGAUGAUGAGGAAGAUGAAUGUGAUUACUUGAGUAUGCAAGCACAAUUUGAUAAUGUUGAUUUGCCCGCUGGUGUUGAGGCAACAGUUUCUUGGUUAAAUGAACCUGCUCCUAGUUCAAAAGUGUCUUCCCAAGCUAGCUCUUCAAGUCAUCUAGCAGGUGCUCAGACAUUGAAUCCUACACUUUCUGAGCAUGCAAGUAGUAGCUUUGCUCAGGUCCCUGCUUCAAGCAGUUCUCUGGUGUCUGGAGGAUCAAAUUCCUGUGGGAAGGAAGAGGUAACUGAAGAUGAACUCAUGAAAAAGUAUCGAAGUUUUAAGCAUUUUGAUGUGGUAGAGGACUUCUCAGAUCAUCAUUACAGUAACUUGGGCGUCAAGGGACAACAGCCACCUAAGGCCUGGAGCAAGAAAGUUCAGGAUGAGUGGAAAAUAUUGGAAAAUGAUUUACCUGAUACAAUAUAUGUAAGGGUCUACGAAGCAAGGAUGGAUCUCCUUAGGGCUGUCAUGAUUGGGCCACAAGGCACUCCAUACCAUGAUGGUCUCUUUGUCUUUGAUGUCCUGUUCCCU
rnacentral:misc_RNA from 1 species